AUGCCGAGCGUGGCGAGGACGAGCCCCGCGGCCACGCGCUGGAGAGAGGUGAGGCCCUGCGGGCGCCGCGUCAGGCGGGCCGCCAGAGGGACCAGGAGGCGCUCGUUGAGCGCGGUGAAGAGCAGGACGGAGAGGAAGAGGAACACGGAGAGCGAGCCCGCCGGGACGACGAAGCGGCCGCCGGCCCGGCGGUCCAUCUGCUCGGCCUGCUGGAUGGAGAAGGUGGUCAUCUGGGAGUAG
rnacentral:rRNA from 1 species